UAUCACUAUUCUGUUUUUCUCC
rnacentral:miRNA from 1 species